UCAGGCAAUAAAAGUUCCAAGUAAAUUGACUUAAUUUGUUAAAACCCAGGUCACCUUCUGAUCUUAGAAGCUAAGCAGGGUCAGGCCUCUUUAGUACUUGGAUGGGAGACCACCAAGGAAGACCAGGUGCUGCAGGCA
rnacentral:rRNA from 1 species